rnacentral:misc_RNA from 1 species
CAGUGUUCCCUGCCCUCACGGGUAGAAACGCCCACCCUUGUAUAUUAUAUCUUUGUUGCUUUGGCAGGCCGCCCUCGGGCACCGGCUCCGGCUGGAUCGUGUCUGCCAGAGGAAACCCAAACUCUGAAUGUUAGUGUCGUCUGAGUACUAUCUAAUAGUUA